rnacentral:rRNA from 1 species
UACGGGGGGGGCAGCAGUUGUUCGGUGAAUUACUGGGCGUAAAGGGCGCGUAGGCGGCCACCGCAAGUCGACUGUGAAAUCUCCCGGCUUAACCGGGAGGGUGCGGCGAAUACUGAGAUGCUGGAGUGCCGGAGAGGUAAGCGGAAUUCCUGGUGUAGCGGUGAAAUGCGCAGAUAUCAGGAGGAACACCGGUGGCGAAGGCGGUUCUCUGGGAAUAUCCUGACGCUGAGGAGCGAAAGUGUGGGGAGCGAACAGG